ACAUCGCCAUUUUGGAUUAUCUACGACAGUUAACACCAGAUAGCAGGAACGGACAGAAGUAGAUGGUUGGCCAUGGAUCCUGAGUACAGCCUCCAUGAUGUGGCACGGUGUCAUCUCUGUGAGAGUCCGGGCCCCCAGUUAAACUGUAUCAUUUGCAAAGAAUAUCUGUGUAAAUACUGUAAGGAAAAACAUCUUUCUGAUGAAUUCAAAGAACACAAAGUGGUACCUUUGAAAUUUAUUUCUAAAUGUAAAAAACAUUCUUUAAAAAUAUGUUAUCUUUUCUGCGAACGUUGUAACGUUGCACUUUGUGGGGAGUGUGUUUCUUCUGGGAAACAUAAUGAUCAUGACUUUGCUAACGUAGUGGAAAAACUCGAAAACCAAAAAUGCGUUUUGAAAAAAGAUUUAAAAGAGCUUAAGAAAAGCAUUUAUCCUAAAUAUUGUGAGAUAGUAUCUGGUAUUCCAAUUCAGAAAGCUGAUCUGAAUAAAAACUUUCAAAAAUUAAUAACAGCUAUCAACAAACAUGGAGAAGAAAUGCACAGAGAAAUAGACAAUGCUAUGAAGGAACUAAAAGCUGAUCUUUUUGAAAUGAACUCAAGACAUCUUACCGCCCUAGACUGGCAGGAAGAUAAAAUCAAACAUAGUGUUUCUGAAAUCACACAUAUCAUUUCUGAUCUGAAUAAAUUACUGAAGACCAAUAAGAUGAAAAAAAUAUGUGCUUGCUGAAUUCAAAAGAUACCCCACAAAACUUCAAUUUAGCUUACCAAGUUUCACCCCUCAAAAGAUCAAUAAAGAACAAAUUUAUCAACAGUUUGGAUUUCUGCCAGCGUUAUCUAUCAAACCGCUCACUGAUAAACCACAGAUCAUUGCAUCUAUAAACACCGAGUAUAGAGGUUUAAAAAAUGUGUCCUGUCCAAGUGAUGAACAAAUAUGGACAUGUGGUUUUAAUGACAUUGUCAUGAGACUCUACAACCUGCAGGGAGAGGUUGUUAAAUCAAUCCAAACUAAGACCCUCCAAGGGCCAAGGCACAUGUCAGUGACAAGGAAUGGAGAUCUAGUUUACACUGAUGAAGAUGCUCGAACUGUAAACAUAGUAAAGAAUACACAGAUACAUAUCAGGGUCAAGGUCAUCCGACUACGGAGGUGGAGGCCUCUUUAUGUCUGUAGUACCUCGUUUGGAGACUUCUUGGUUGUAAUGGACAGUGAUGAUGAAAGGCAAACAAAAAUUGUGCGUUACUCUGGCUUCAAAGAAAAACAAAGUAUUCAGUACAAUCCCAUGGGACAUCCUUUCUAUGUAUCUGGAUUUUCCCCUAAAUUUAUAUGUGAGAACAGAAACCUAGACAUCUGUGUAGCUGACCUUAGAGCCGGUGCUAUAGUGGUGGUCAGUCAGGCCGGACAUAAUAUCCGGUUUAUCUACACCGGUCCUUCCUCCAAAACCAAGAAACUAUUUAGUCCAAUCGGCAUUACUACAGACAGCCAGAGUCGGAUCCUGACUACAGACUGUUACAACAAUUGUAUCCACAUCCUAAAUUACGACGGACAGUUUCUCUGCUACAUUGACAACUGUUACUUACAGGAUCCACGUGGUUUAUGUGUGGACACCAGGGACAACCUCUUUGUCGCCGAAAGGUCAGGUAGAGUGAAGAAAAUCAAAUACUGCAGAUAAUUAAACUGUGUGAAUUAUGUAAGAUCAAUACACAUGUAAGUUUGCUGAUACUGUUGACUUGACUUAGUGAAUAUUAUUUGUGAACAGUAUAUAAUAUGUAAAGAGUCUGAAUGAGAAAUUUAUUUUAGCAACUUACUUUGUGAAAAUGAAAUGUGUAUACAUAAAGUACAUGUAUCAGAAUGUUGAUGAAAUAUUUUGUAAUGUCAGUUGUAUUUGGCGUUUUUCAUCUAAUUAGAGACUUUUGACAUAUAAUCAUAAUUAUAUCAUAUAAUCAUAAUUAUAUCUCUAAUGUUCUUUUGCAAUUGAGCUCAGUAAAAAGAAUUUAACAGACGUUAGUUAUUAAAGAUUUUAAAAAUC
rnacentral:sRNA from 1 species